UUAAGUUCAGCGGGUAGUCCUACCUGAUUUGAGGUCAAAUUGUCAAUAAAUUGUCCGUAAGGACAGUUAUAAGCAGGACCCCAUAUUAAAGUCAACCUACUGUGGCGUAGAUAAUUAUCACACCAGAGACGGUCAACAAAGGUCUCACUAAUACAUUUCAGGAGAGCUGACUUCUGAGAAGCCUGCAACACCCACAUCCA
rnacentral:misc_RNA from 1 species